GGUUAAGCGACUAAGCGUACACGGUGGAUGCCCUGGCAGUCAGAGGCGAUGAAGGACGUGCUAAUCUGCGAUAAGCGUCGGUAAGGUGAUAUGAACCGUUAUAACCGGCGAUUUCCGAAUGGGGAAACCCAGUGUGUUUCGACACACUAUCAUUAACUGAAUCCAUAGGUUAAUGAGGCGAACCGGGGGAACUGAAACAUCUAAGUACCCCGAGGAAAAGAAAUCAACCGAGAUUCCCCCAGUAGCGGCGAGCGAACGGGGAGCAGCCCAGAGCCUGAAUCAGUGUGUGUGUUAGUGGAAGCGUCUGGAAAGGCGCGCGAUACAGGGUGACAGCCCCGUACACAAAAAUGCACAUGCUGUGAGCUCGAUGAGUAGGGCGGGACACGUGGUAUCCUGUCUGAAUAUGGGGGGACCAUCCUCCAAGGCUAAAUACUCCUGACUGACCGAUAGUGAACCAGUACCGUGAGGGAAAGGCGAAAAGAACCCCGGCGAGGGGAGUGAAAAAGAACCUGAAACCGUGUACGUACAAGCAGUGGGAGCACGCUUAGGCGUGUGACUGCGUACCUUUUGUAUAAUGGGUCAGCGACUUAUAUUCUGUAGCAAGGUUAACCGAAUAGGGGAGCCGAAGGGAAACCGAGUCUUAACUGGGCGUUAAGUUGCAGGGUAUAGACCCGAAACCCGGUGAUCUAGCCAUGGGCAGGUUGAAGGUUGGGUAACACUAACUGGAGGACCGAACCGACUAAUGUUGAAAAAUUAGCGGAUGACUUGUGGCUGGGGGUGAAAGGCCAAUCAAACCGGGAGAUAGCUGGUUCUCCCCGAAAGCUAUUUAGGUAGCGCCUCGUGAAUUCAUCUCCGGGGGUAGAGCACUGUUUCGGCAAGGGGGUCAUCCCGACUUACCAACCCGAUGCAAACUGCGAAUACCGGAGAAUGUUAUCACGGGAGACACACGGCGGGUGCUAACGUCCGUCGUGAAGAGGGAAACAACCCAGACCGCCAGCUAAGGUCCCAAAGUCAUGGUUAAGUGGGAAACGAUGUGGGAAGGCCCAGACAGCCAGGAUGUUGGCUUAGAAGCAGCCAUCAUUUAAAGAAAGCGUAAUAGCUCACUGGUCGAGUCGGCCUGCGCGGAAGAUGUAACGGGGCUAAACCAUGCACCGAAGCUGCGGCAGCGACGCUGAUGCGUUGUUGGGUAGGGGAGCGUUCUGUAAGCCUGCGAAGGUGUGCUGUGAGGCAUGCUGGAGGUAUCAGAAGUGCGAAUGCUGACAUAAGUAACGAUAAAGCGGGUGAAAAGCCCGCUCGCCGGAAGACCAAGGGUUCCUGUCCAACGUUAAUCGGGGCAGGGUGAGUCGACCCCUAAGGCGAGGCCGAAAGGCGUAGUCGAUGGGAAACAGGUUAAUAUUCCUGUACUUGGUGUUACUGCGAAGGGGGGACGGAGAAGGCUAUGUUGGCCGGGCGACGGUUGUCCCGGUUUAAGCGUGUAGGCUGGUUUUCCAGGCAAAUCCGGAAAAUCAAGGCUGAGGCGUGAUGACGAGGCACUACGGUGCUGAAGCAACAAAUGCCCUGCUUCCAGGAAAAGCCUCUAAGCAUCAGGUAACAUCAAAUCGUACCCCAAACCGACACAGGUGGUCAGGUAGAGAAUACCAAGGCGCUUGAGAGAACUCGGGUGAAGGAACUAGGCAAAAUGGUGCCGUAACUUCGGGAGAAGGCACGCUGAUAUGUAGGUGAAGUCCCUUGCGGAUGGAGCUGAAAUCAGUCGAAGAUACCAGCUGGCUGCAACUGUUUAUUAAAAACACAGCACUGUGCAAACACGAAAGUGGACGUAUACGGUGUGACGCCUGCCCGGUGCCGGAAGGUUAAUUGAUGGGGUCAGCGCAAGCGAAGCUCUUGAUCGAAGCCCCGGUAAACGGCGGCCGUAACUAUAACGGUCCUAAGGUAGCGAAAUUCCUUGUCGGGUAAGUUCCGACCUGCACGAAUGGCGUAAUGAUGGCCAGGCUGUCUCCACCCGAGACUCAGUGAAAUUGAACUCGCUGUGAAGAUGCAGUGUACCCGCGGCAAGACGGAAAGACCCCGUGAACCUUUACUAUAGCUUGACACUGAACAUUGAGCCUUGAUGUGUAGGAUAGGUGGGAGGCUUAGAAGUGUGGACGCCAGUCUGCAUGGAGCCGACCUUGAAAUACCACCCUUUAAUGUUUGAUGUUCUAACGUGGACCCGUGAUCCGGGUUGCGGACAGUGUCUGGUGGGUAGUUUGACUGGGGCGGUCUCCUCCUAAAGAGUAACGGAGGAGCACGAAGGUUGGCUAAUCCUGGUCGGACAUCAGGAGGUUAGUGCAAUGGCAUAAGCCAGCUUGACUGCGAGCGUGACGGCGCGAGCAGGUGCGAAAGCAGGUCAUAGUGAUCCGGUGGUUCUGAAUGGAAGGGCCAUCGCUCAACGGAUAAAAGGUACUCCGGGGAUAACAGGCUGAUACCGCCCAAGAGUUCAUAUCGACGGCGGUGUUUGGCACCUCGAUGUCGGCUCAUCACAUCCUGGGGCUGAAGUAGGUCCCAAGGGUAUGGCUGUUCGCCAUUUAAAGUGGUACGCGAGCUGGGUUUAGAACGUCGUGAGACAGUUCGGUCCCUAUCUGCCGUGGGCGCUGGAGAACUGAGGGGGGCUGCUCCUAGUACGAGAGGACCGGAGUGGACGCAUCACUGGUGUUCGGGUUGUCAUGCCAAUGGCACUGCCCGGUAGCUAAAUGCGGAAGAGAUAAGUGCUGAAAGCAUCUAAGCACGAAACUUGCCCCGAGAUGAGUUCUCCCUGACCCUUUAAGGGUCCUGAAGGAACGUUGAAGACGACGACGUUGAUAGGCCGGGUGUGUAAGCGCAGCGAUGCGUUGAGCUAACCGGUACUAAUGAACCGUGAGGCUUAACCUU
rnacentral:rRNA from 1 species